ACCAGAUGUGCCCCCCGCCAACCUUGGAUGUCUCAGUCUCCAGAACGCUUUCCCACAUUUUUAAGAUGAUAAACGAUUUGGAACGCAGCAUGAUGUACUCCCAUUUUUCUCCUUCCACACCAUCUGUUGGGGAAAAGAGGACUCACACGCAGAUGAGCCAGCUCCCUUGUGAAGCUGUAAGAACAUGGUACUUACAGGAGUAAGGCUCAUGAAGUGGAGAGAUGAGAAGACUUUCGGGACAGAUUGUGUGGAGGCUGUCAUUCUCCUCGUGACAUUGCUGUGGGAGAAGAAGGAGGCAUUCCAUGUUGGCUUCAGUGAAGAACUUCACGGCAUUCAAAGGCUGAAGGGCCACCUGACACUCCAGAGGCUGCUGGAAAUGCAGGGCUGUUUCAUCCUGGGUAUUUUCCAGAGAGAAGUACUGAGAAGCUUAAAGUAUUUGAAUGGGAGGAGGAGAAGCAAACUACAGCUACUUCAGAGGAUAACACUAAACACCUAGUCCACUCUGUAUACACUAGAGGUGCUGUUAAUUUUCUUGUGGAGAAGGAACUGUCUUUAGAAAAAUAUCUCAAAAAGCCACUGAAGUAGAAAGUUUCAGCAUGCUGAAGAUGGAACUUGAGAAGAUAGAAAGUUCUGGGUCCUUAGUGGCAUGACUGAGUCGCUGGACCACUGUUGGAACCACCCUAUGUCUUAGUUUUUAAAUCUCUUUACUGUCUAAGACAUUUUUAGUGGAAGUAUUUAUCUCUGGCAUCCAAUAAGACCUUUAAGGAUUUGCAGUUUU
rnacentral:lncRNA from 1 species